rnacentral:lncRNA from 1 species
CCCCACGGCGACUGCCAGGACCCGGCCCUCCCCGCCCCGGCCCGGGGCCGCCCACCUCCGCCGCUGGCGUCCUGCGCGCGUGUCCCCGGCCUCGCCGUUCCCGUGGCACCCCGGGCACCCCGGCACGGACGCCACGCCCGCCGCGCUCACCUCUCCCGCCGCAUGGCGCGGGCGCCGGGGUGGAGUUCUGGCUUCAGGAUCUGCUCGCCGCCGACGACGACCUCGACCCUUCCAUUCAGACCCGCGAGGACGCGCGCCCCGCCCCGGCGCCCGCCCCGUCCACGCCCGAGCCGGGAGCGCCAGGUCCACGGGGCUUCCCGCGCUCUUGGGGGGCUCCUGCCGCGGCGUCGGGGGCCUGGGCAGCGAGGGCCUCCAGAGGAACCAGCGCUGCCGACUCCUUGAUUCUAACCCACUGAGGCCUAUUUUGGAUUUCUGCACCCCAGAACUGUGGGAGAGUAAAUUGUGCUGUUGAAGCCACCACAUUUGUGGUGAUCUGUUCCAGCUGCAGUAGGAAGCUCGUAUGCUUGGCAGUUCUGAUUGUGAACUCACCUUUAUGUUGGAGAUUCCUUUACACAUAAGUCCCCUUAUCCACAGCGGACAAAUUCCAUGACCCCCAGUGGAUGCCUGAAAUCGCGGAGAGUACUGAAUCCUACAUAUAAUGUGUUCUUUCCUAUAUGUAUAUGUAUAUAUCUAUAUCUAUGAUACAGUCUAAUUUAUAAAUUAGGCACAGUGAGAGAUUAACAACAAUAACUAAUAGUAAAAUAGGACAAUGAUGACAAUAUAAUGUAAUAAAAGUUUUGUGAAUAUGGUCUCUCUUCUCUCUCAAAAAAAAAAAAAAAAAAAAAAAAA